AUGAUGGAGAAAAAGGAACCCUGCAAAGAGUAUCCACCAAAAUCCAAGCAAGCAAUGGGAGAGAGAGAAAGAAGAAAAAAAGGAAUGAAGGAAGCAGGAGAGAAGAAGAAGAAAAGGAGGAGGAAAGAAAAAGAGGAGGAGGAGAAGAUGAAGAAGAAAGAAGAAGAAGAAGAAGAAGAAGAAGAAGAAGAAGAAGAAGAAGAAGAAGAAGAAGAAGAAGAAGAAGAAGAAGAAGAAGAAGAACAAGAAGAAGAAGAAGAAGAAGGAAGAAGAGGAAGAAGAAGGGGGAGGAGGAAAGAGGAAGGAGGAAGAAGAAAGGAGAAAGGAGAUGGAGGAGGAGGAGAAAGAGAAGGUGGAGAGGAGGAAGUCAGACUCAAAGAGUUUAGGCCUUUUAGAGAAAUACAGUUAAAACAAGUAUUCCAACCAAAACAGACUACCUUAACAGGUUUGCUCUGAAGUGCAAUUAAGAUAAUGGGAUAAUGACCAAGGCCAUCUGGAGAAAGCUUCAAGAAUUUGUUUUGUUCUUUUUUCCCAUCUAUUUGUCAGUACCAGGUGCUUCUGAUGGAGUGGUUAGGCCAAGAAUCUCCUUUCCUGAAAGUCCUUACUUUCGCAUCACUUAAAAGCCUGGAUUGAAAUGUUUACAUUUCCACUUACUAGUUUAGCUGUGCUAACUUACACGAUUGCCUUAAUUUUUAUGAGUCUUAGUUUCUUCGUCUGUAUAAUAGGAGAGUUGGGCCUGAUGGUUUUUGAGUUCCCUUUUGGUUCUAGGUCCUAUCUGCCUCUACUUUCAUAGGGUCACUGGUAUGUUUUUUCAUAUUUUAAUAUUUCGGGUGUUUUCAUGGGCUCGGUUUCAAUAAGUGAAGAAAAAGUCAGGCAGCAUUCUAUCAAUAGGAAGUAAAUGAAACUCUAAAUCUACUAUCUCAAAAUCUCACCAGAACGGCAGAUGACAACCUCACUGACUGCUGAUUUUGUCAAGGAGAAAGCUUUUACAAGUUUGACAGGAGAAAUCCUUAUUUCAGAGUAGCUUCUGACUCACAAAUGGCCCCAUGUAAAAUUAUAAGAGUUGGAAAUCUAGGACUUAGGACACAUAAUCCUCUCAGAUCUCAACACCUCCCAUCAAUCAUUUACAAGGAGCAGUGGUAUAAUAUCCAGCUGGAGCCUCAUAGAAAUAACUCCUACUUUCUGGUCAUCCAGAAGAGACUGGAUUCAGCUCGGCCUCAUCCAUCAACCAGAAAAUUGUGCCAGUCACAGACUUUCCAUUCAGCAUAAGGCCUCAGUUCUUAAAAGACCAUUACUCCUUUCCCUGGAGAAUUUCUCUGCAAAAGCAUUCUCUUAGGUUAGUGGUAGGGUGAUUGUUUUAUAAGUGAAUGAAUGAAUGGAUGAGUGGAUCAUUGCCCUGUACACGGUAGGAAAUGUGCUCUUGUCUGCUCAUGCACACAUUGCAGGCAUUAAAUCAAUGAUUAGUUAAUAAUUAUUGAAUCAAUAAAUAGAUGAGCACAGUGGAAUGGGCCA
rnacentral:lncRNA from 1 species